rnacentral:lncRNA from 1 species
CAAGUUUGUUACAUGGGUAUAUUGCAUGAUGCUGAAGUUUGAGACGCCUAAAUACCUGACGUGUGACAGCAAAUGCCUGUUCCCAUGGAGCUGCUGCUUCUGAGAAAGCUUGAAACAGACAAAGAAUAAGGUAGAAAUGACCUCCUCACUAGAGAUGAAAAGAAGCUGUCCUGGUGAGGAAAUUGGAUCCCAGCUUUUGCCGCUAAGAUUCUUCUCUUCUGCCUCUGGUUUUCUUUAUUGUUCACCCCCAGAAGCAAUCGCUCUCUCACAAGGCAACACACGCAAUAGAGUGAACAGUGAUUCUACAGUCUGAUUCUGGAAAAGGCGACCACAGUGGAAAGAGUGAUCCACACAAGUAUAGGGCCUCCUGAUUAAAACACUAAGAUUUCAUCUCACGCUGUGCCUUUAUACUGUUGAGAUACUAAAGAGGACACUAAAGAUCAAAGUGCUACUUUACAACAUUUUGAAGAAAACAACUGCUACCUGUGUAUUAGUUUGUGCAGAUGUGUUACACAGCUUAGCUGUGUCUGUACCAGUUUAUUAGAAUCAAAGUAUUUUUAAAGUACCUAAGGCCAGGCACAGUGGCUCACACCUGUAAUCCCAGCACUUUGGGAGGCUGAGGCAAGUGGAUCACUUGAGAUCAGGAAUUCAAGACCAGCCUGGCCAACAUGGUGAAACCCCAUCUCUACUAAAAAUACAAAAAUUAGCCAGGCAUGGUGUCACAUGCCUGUAAUCCCAGUGACUCAAGAGGCUGAGGUAUGAGAAUCAAUCGUUUGAACUCAGAAGGAGAGGUUGCAGUGAGUGGAGAUAGCAACACUGUACUCCAGCCUGGGUGACAGAGUGAGAUCCAGUCUCAAAAAAAAAAAAAAAAAAAAAAAAAGUACCUAAAACUUGUGAUAUGGUUUGGCCUUGUCCCCACCCAAAUCUCAUAUUGAAUUGAAUUAUGGGGAGAGGUCUUUCCUGCGCUGUUCUUAUGAUAGUGAAUGAGUUUCAUGAGAUCUGAUGGUUUUAAAAAUGGGAGUUUCCCUGCACAAGCUCUCUUUUGUUGCCUGCUGCCAUCCACGUAAGAUGUGACUUGCUCCUCUUUACCUUCCACCAUGAUUUUGAGGCCUCCCCAGUCC